rnacentral:rRNA from 1 species
CCUACGGGAGGCAGCAGUGGGGAAUUUUGGACAAUGGGCGAAAGCCUGAUCCAGCCAUUCCGCGUGAGUGAAGAAGGCCUUCGGGUUGUAAAGCUCUUUCGCAAGGAAAGAAAACUUAUCUCCUAAUACGGGGUGAGGAUGACGGUACCUUGAUAAGAAGCACCGGCUAACUACGUGCCAGCAGCCGCGGUAAUACGUAGGGUGCGAGCGUUAAUCGGAAUUACUGGGCGUAAAGCGUGCGCAGGCUGUUUUGUAAGUCAGAUGUGAAAUCCCUGGGCUCAACCUAGGAACUGCGUUUGAAACUACAAGGCUAGAGUGUAGCAGAGGGGGGUAGAAUUCCACGUGUAGCAGUGAAAUGCGUAGAGAUGUGGAGGAAUACCAAUGGCGAAGGCAGCCCCCUGGGUUAACACUGACGCUCAUGCACGAAAGCGUGGGGAGCAAACAGGAUUAGAUACCCUGGUAGUCCACGCCCUAAACGAUGUCUACUAGUUGUUGGGAGAGUAAAAUCUCUUAGUAACGCAGCUAACGCGUGAAGUAGACCGCCUGGGGAGUACGGUCGCAAGAUUAAAACGCAAAUGAAUUGACGG